rnacentral:rRNA from 1 species
AUGCAGAGAUAUGACUUAGUCUGUGGUUGUAUAUGCAUGCGGUGUCACAGUAAUAUAGGUUAUGAUGACCGUAAAAUUAACAAGUUGACUGACUCUUGUGCACCAUGUGGCUGUCUACUCUGUUCUGGAAACAGAAUCCGUUUGGGAGCCGCCGCUGAAGGCAGGGCCCCUUGCUCGGACAGGGUGACAACAUUGGAGAAGACUGUGAGGGAAUUUGCCGAGCAUCCAGGGGACAUAGUGAUGAUCAAGCCAAAAAUCAGAACAACCUUCGACAGUCUGGGUGAAGCUUAUGACUUUUACAAUUUGUAUUCAUGGGAGAAAGGAUUUGCAAUUAGAUACGGGAAGAGCAGACUAAAUGUGAACAGGACAAAAUGCAUCCAAGAGAUCGUGUGUGGAUGCGCGGGGAAGCCGGUAGUUGAAAAUACUCGUUCUUGUCGCUGUGAAUGUCCGGCACUAGUGAGAUUACUGCGGUCCAAGGACAAUGGGUGGUACAUAGCUGAGCAUCGAGAUGGGCACAACCAUUCUCUGUCGCAGACUUACGGCCAAACAAUACACUGGCCGUCACAUAAGCAUAUCGAUGUGUACAGCAUGGACCUAGUGAAGCAGCUGCGGCAAAACAAUGUUAACCUAGCAAAGGUGUAUGGCAUUAUCGGGAGCUUCUUCGGUAAGAUGGAGAAUGUACCAUUCACGGAAAGAGCACUGAGAACUUUGUGUGGCAAGAUAAGCCGUGAGCAGUCCGAAGAUGAUGUGAGGAAGACAAUGGAAGUUUUCCAGGAGCUGUGUUCAAAGGAUCAACAAUUUACAUAUCGGGUACAAGCUGACAAUGAGGGCAGAAUAAGCAACCUAAUGUGGGCUACGGGAAAUAGCAGGCUGCAGUACAAUUUCUUUGGUGAUGUAGUUACAUUCGACACAACCUACCGUACCAAUCUGUACGACAUUCCCUUUGGUUUAUUUGUUGGGGUUAACAACCAUUUCUAG